GGACAGAUAAUAUUCCCUGCUUCAUUAGACCAGAAGUGCUACGCUUGUGACUGGCUUGACGAUAAUUUACGUCUUGUAAGUGUGUGGUCGGAUGUGCUCGAUAAAAUUCAAAACAAAAUUGUGAUACUUAAAUGUCUACUGGCAAUUUAUAGUUACGGCAGUUACAUGAAUUGUUCCUGUGAACACGACCCUAUUCCAGGAAGUGAACAUUGGUGAACGUUAAUUAUUAGCCCAUUUGUCGCUUCCUCGUGUUGCCGGGAAGGAAGACCCACUGGUUGAUUUCGCUCCUGUUUAUAAGUUCCCUGCAGCACAAACCAAAUCGGAGAAGUUGACGCCUGUGAACAUUAAUCGUCAGCCUAUUUGUUGCCGCAAUGGAAGAAUCGCUGGACGCUUCGUUGCCGGUCGACACGGCUAUGGCAAGCUGGAGAGGUCUUCAGCAGCAGCAGCAGCAGCAGCAGCAGUCACCGGCGGCCGCGGACUCGACCACACCCACCCGCAGCGUCACUCCCACCGCGGCCGCUUCACCACGCGCCGCAGCGGUCUGCAGAACUGCCUGCCUCUCGCUGUCCCUCACAUCUCUGUUCACUCUGGGGACCGGCAGGAGCUUUGCGGCGCCCUGCCUGCUGUAUCCUGCCGCUAUGUGGAGGCCGCCCUGCUGCCACUUGUUCUGCGUGUUGACGUCGGCCCCCGACUGCGGCAGAAUUCCGCUGUACAGUGCGGUGGAGUGUAGCCGCGUUCGGGCCGGUUGUUCGCGUCUGUUCCCCUGGCAGAGACCUCGAGGACUUUGGCCGCGUCUCCGUUCCCUGUGCAUUUUGAAUCUGCUUCUCGAUGUCUUGCUCCUUUGCAGUAUUAUUUUCCACGGAAAUGUGUUGCCGCAGUGGAAAAUCUGAAAAUCUUCAUAACCGUGCCAAUUACGUGCUAAAAACCCAGUUGCGUGAGCAGCGUGUAAGACUUGACAACUUGGUCCAGUAUGGGGAAGUAGAUUUUGAGGCUACACAGAAUUACUUGACAACAUUUGUAGAACUGAAAGUGUAAUGCCAGAGGGUGGUGUUCCACAUUACAUCUGAUUUGGGAAUCACCCUGCAAAAUCCCCUAUUCAGGGUUACCUUUGCUAACCCAGAAAAGUAAUUUUCAGCAGGCCACGUAUUUGAGGCAUAUCCUGUAAUUUUAAUGUGCGGAAUUUAAAAUUUAACUGUGGCCUCGCGCGUAGAUCCUUUAGCAGGGAUUUGCGUAUUAUUUAAUGUGAUUGAAGAUAUCUGAGUAAAACAAAUUUUCAUUUCAACACGUAAAUUUAUUCACUAAAACCAUCUAUUAACUUCACGUACAAAAAUUGACUGUCAAAACUGUUAACAAGUCUGUUGGUGUUGAAAUUCUGUUUAAUGACUGAGUGUAUAGCAGUGUUACUGGUUCACCUGUGAAUUUACACACUGAUAAACUGCAGUGAAAACUGAGACUUUGAGAUGGGAUCAAAAAAUACCUGGAAUGCUGCAGUUGGAUGUGCACGCUUUGUUGUUACGUGUUGUGGUACUAGCUGGUGUCGGUUAGGGGUAUUCCACAUGGCUCAGGAAGCUGGCAUCAGUUGGAGUUCAGUGGUUUGUUUGUUGCGCUCUCUUGUUAGUGUUUCUGUUCGCUUCCUUUGGCAUUUAAUGACACGGUUGACAACGAGCAGAGAGUCUGCAUGAAAUUUUGUUUCCUGUCGGGGAAAACUGCAGCAGAGACUAUUGGGAUGCUUCGGCAAGCCUUUAGUGACGAUGCUUUGGAGAAAUCGCAGGGCUAAGAGUGGUUCUCUUAUUUCAGAUCUCGCAAAACAUCGACUGAAAAGUGCCACACUGUGGUUGUACUUAGACAUCAAGAAAUGAUGAAAACGAUUGCCACAAUCAAUCAAACUAGCAAUUCUCAGAGGACCAUUGACCAAAUUUCUCAGGAAAGAAAAGUGUCACGGAGCACAGUCCAGUAAAUCUUAACUGAAGAUUUGCACACGAGACUGAGUAUGCAAAAUUUGUUCCUCGCUCACUCACAGGUGACCGAACAGAAAACCACGUUAAUGUUUGCCACGGUUCGAAGAGUGAAAUGCAAAACUGUCCAACUGCCGGAUGAGAGUCGGUACUACGGGUACAAUCUGGAGUCGAGGGGUAAAAGCGAGUGCGGAGCCAGUGGAAAACUCGAACAUUGCCACGGCCCGAGAAAGCACGUCGAGUGCCGUCCGACAUGAAAACAGUGUUUAUCUAUGUUUUUGAUAUGAAUGGAAUUGUUUACAGGGAGUGUGUUGUUCCAGACAGUUUGUGAGCCGAUAUUUUUAUGAGGAUGUGUUAGGAAGAUUCGAAGGUGUGUGCAGUGAAUAUGGCCAGAACUGGGGAAAAAUGGGAACUGGUUGCUCCAGCGAGACAAUGCU